rnacentral:rRNA from 1 species
UGGGGAAUAUUGCACAAUGGGCGAAAGCCUGAUGCAGCAACGCCGCGUGAGCGAUGAAGGCCUUCGGGUCAUAAAGCUCUGUCCUCAAGGAAGAUGAUGACGGUACCCACAGAAGAAGCCCCGGCUAACUUCGUGCCAGCAGCCGCGGUAAUACGAAGGGGGCUAGCGUUGUUCGGAAUUACUGGGCGUAAAGCGCACGUAGGCGGAUCGUUAAGUCGGGGGUGAAAUCCUGGGGCUCAACCUCAGAACUGCCUUCGAUACUGGCGAUCUCGAGUCCGGGAGAGGUGAGUGGAAUUCCGAGUGUAGAGGUGAAAUUCGUAGAUAUUCGGAGGAACACCAGUGGCGAAGGCGGCUCACUGGCCCGGUACUGACGCUGAGGUGCGAAAGCGUGGGGAGCAAACG